GGUUGACCUCGGAUCAGGUAGGGAUACCCGCUGAACUUAAGCAUAUCAAUAAGCGGAGGAAAAGAAACCAACAGGGAUUGCCUCAGUAACGGCGAGUGAAGCGGCAACAGCUCAAAUUUGAAAUCUGGCUCCUCUAGGGGUCCGAGUUGUAAUUUGUAGAGGAUGCUUCGGGCAAGGCUGUGGUCUAAUUUGCUUGGAACAGCGAGUCAUAGAGGGUGAGAAUCCCGUCUAGGAUCGUAAGCCGCGUCCAUGUGAAGCUCCUUCGACGAGUCGAGUUGUUUGGGAAUGCAGCUCUAAAUGGGUGGUAAAUUUCAUCUAAAGCUAAAUAUUGGCCAGAGACCGAUAGCGCACAAGUAGAGUGAUCGAAAGAUGAAAAGCACUUUGAAAAGAGAGUUAAACAGUAUGUGAAAUUGUUGAAAGGGAAGCGCUUGCAAUCAGACUUGUGUCUGACGGUUCCCCCGGCCUUCUGGCCGAGCUACUCCGUCAUGUCCAGGCCAACAUCGGUCUGGGGGGUCGGUGAAAGACCCCGGGAAUGUAUCUACCUUCGGGUCGACUUAUAGCCCGGGGUGUAAUGCGGCCUCCCCGGACCGAGGAACGCGCUUCGGCUCGGAUGUUGGCGUAAUGGUUGUAAGCGGCCCGUCUUGAAACACGGACCAAGGAGUCUAACAUCUAUGCGAGUGUUUGGGUGUCAAACCCCUACGCGUAAUGAAAGUGAACGGAGGUAAGAACCCCGCAAGGGGCGCAUUAUCGACCGAUCCUGAUGUCUUCGGAUGGAUUUGAGUAAGAGCAUAGCUGUUGGGACCCGAAAGAUGGUGAACUAUGCAUGAAUAGGGUGAAGCCAGAGGAAACUCUGGUGGAGGCUCGCAGCGGUUCUGACGUGCAAAUCGAUCGUCAAAUUUGUGCAUAGGGGCGAAAGACCAAUCGAACCAUUAAAGAAUAAUGAAGUGGAGGGUUACCGGGUGGUUCUUGAACAGUCCUUUGGGGCUACAUCGUCCUUCUGGCGGGGAUCAAAACCUGCAGCAGCUGAAGAUCUUCGGCUGUUCACAGACUAGGAGACGGUGGUCAUCUUGAUCAAAAAGAUGAUGAUGAUAUAGUCGGUCAUGGUUAAGAUCUUUAACCGUGAUUCAACGCUGGUAGCUGGUUCCUGUCGAAGUUUCCCUCAGGAUAGCAGUAACGUUUUCAGUUUUAUGAGGUAAAGCGAAUGAUUAGAGGCCUUGGGGUUGAAACAACCUUAACCUAUUCUCAAACUUUAAAUAUGUAAGAAGUCCUUGUUACUUAAUUGAACGUGGACAUUUGAAUGUAUCGUUACUAGUGGGCCAUUUUUGGUAAGCAGAACUGGCGAUGCGGGAUGAACCGAACGUGAGGUUAAGGUGCCGGAAUGUACGCUCAUCAGACACCACAAAAGGUGUCAAUGCAUCCAGACAGCCGGACGGUGGCCAUGGAAGUCGGAAUCCGCUUAGGAGUGUGUAGUUAUACCUUUUGGUUAAGCUCUGGGGUUGUUGCACACAAUCAUCUCUAUUGUUAUAGGGAUAGUUGACCGUUGAGACGGUUGAACGAUGGCUCUAUUUGACUGGGAAUCUUACAAAGGUGAUCGGUCGUAAACCUAUUUCGGGUUUAUCCACAGACUAAAAAGAGCCGACCGUUACUGAGAUGUUACGGUUAAGAUAUAGUCGAUCAAGACCUCCAAUCGAGGCAACUUUUAACGAGAACAACUCACCGGCCGAAUGCAUUGGCCCUGAAAAUGGAUGGCGCUUAAGCGUGCUACCUAUACCUCGCCGUUGGGGUUGAAAUGAUGCCCCAACGAGUAGGCAGGCGUGGGGGUUUGUGACGAAGCCCUUGG
rnacentral:rRNA from 1 species